UACGUAGGGUGCAAGCGUUGUCCGGAAUUAUUGGGCGUAAAGAGCUCGUAGGCGGUUUGUCGCGUCUGCUGUGAAAACUCGGGGCUCAACCCCGAGCCUGCAGUCGAUACGGGCAGACUAGAGUGUGGUAGGGGAGACUGGAAUUCCUGGUGUAGCGGUGAAAUGCGCAGAUAUCAGGAGGAACACCGAUGGCGAAGGCAGGUC
rnacentral:rRNA from 1 species